rnacentral:tRNA from 1 species
AAAGGGAGACCUAAUUCAGGUAGGAGACGAAAAAAAAGUAGUCCCUACCAAGAAUCAAUCCCAAAAGGUCGGAGCGAGGCAAAAUUGGCUUUCAAACUAGGUUCUGGGUUCACACAAGACCUGAAUCAGGAACAAGGGCUAUUAGCUCAGGUGGUUAGAGCGCACCCCUGAUAAGGGUGAGGUCCCUGGUUCGAGUCCAGGAUGGCCCACCUGUACAGGUGGCAAAAAGAAAGAAAAGAAGCGAGGAAUCAGCACCUUAUCUUACUUAUAUAGUAAGAGAGAAUGCUGGCUCUGAGUUCAGAGUCCAGAGGAACCUUGAAAACUGCAUAGAGCUAGGUGAAAAGGCCAAAAAAGAAGACCGCAAG